UUGAACGCUGGCGGCAUGCCUUACACAUGCAAGUCGAACGGCAGCACGGGGGCGACCCUGGUGGCGAGUGGCGAACGGGUGAGUAACGCAUCGGAACGUACCCGGAAGUGGGGGAUAACGUAGCGAAAGUUACGCUAAUACCGCAUAUUCUGUGAGCAGGAAAGAGGGGGAUCGCAAGACCUCUCGCUUUCGGAGCGGCCGAUGUCGGAUUAGCUAGUUGGCGGGGUAAAGGCCCACCAAGGCGACGAUCCGUAGCGGGUCUGAGAGGACGACCAGCCACACUGGAACUGAGACACGGUCCAGACUCCUACGGGAGGCAGCAGUGGGGAAUUUUGGACAAUGGGCGCAAGCCUGAUCCAGCAAUGCCGCGUGCAGGAUGAAGGCCUUCGGGUUGUAAACUGCUUUUGUACGGAACGAAACGGUCCGCCUUAAUACGGUGGGCUAAUGACGGUACCGUAAGAAUAAGCACCGGCUAACUACGU
rnacentral:rRNA from 1 species